rnacentral:rRNA from 1 species
UACGGAGGGUGCGAGCGUUGUCCGGAAUUACUGGGCGUAAAGCGUGCGCAGGCGGUUUUGUAAGCCAGAUGUGAAAUCCCCGGGCUUAACCUGGGAAUGGCAUUUGGGACUGCAAGGCUCGAGUGCGGCAGAGGAGACUGGAAUUCCUGGUGUAGCAGUGAAAUGCGUAGAUAUCAGGAGGAACACCGAUGGCGAAGGCAGGUCUCUGGGCUGACACUGACGCUCAUGCACGAAAGCGUGGGGAGCAAACAGG